AGACGGCUGCCGCCUAGCACAGCAAGCUAUCGAGCUAACUAGUUAGCCUCUCCAUUAUACUUGUUCUAAACGUAAGAAAGUGUUUCAAACAGUAAGAAGGAAAAAGAAGUCUUACCAUUUCCACACAGAACGGGAUGAGCACCUUUUCUCCACUCCACGGCCAGUCUCCAUGCAGUGCGAAAGGUAAUGUAAAAUAACGUCAUGUCUUAUAACAGUACUGAUGCCUAGUGACCGCAAUACUACAACAACUCUAUAGAUGGAUGAGAUGUUUCAUUGUGGAGUUUAUGUUGUGUUUUCAAGUCUAUAGGAGUAGUGGGUACAUGACUUCCUGUUAGAUGUCUGAAAGGGUACAACGCUGUGAAAAGUUGCCACCUUUGGUCACUUUUGACAAACGCGGCUCUGUGGUGCAGAACUUUACUUCAGCCUAACUAACGUUUCCACUUGGACGCAUUUCACUGCAGCACACAACUUUGCGUGUGGAGGAGCUGUGAAUAAAACCGCGUCUCGCAUGAACUGCAAGCGUAUUUCUUCCUCCAACUCCACCACAACGACGUAUGCUCGACCACUCCUCUUCAAAGGUGGCAGGAAUGUUUGCCGUUGCCACAAAGAUGCUGAUGAAGAGGCAGGGGACAGAUCCCAGCAUUCCUCCAGCACAGAUGAGCGGAUCUGCAUUGGACACUUUGUCCUUCAAGAAUCUGGACAGACCAGUGCCAAGACACACUCCGAGAAUGCCUGAGACCACCGUGACGGCGCCAAAGAUAAAACUGUACUGGGAGCGGAGUCAGAGAGCAAUGUCAAAAGUCUGCAGGUAUGACGAAUGACAGCAAAGAAGCAGAGAUGCACACUGCACCUGUCCGUGGAGUUGCACAGCCCUUUCGAGCACGGGGGGAGGAGUCCCUGAGACACCCGAGCUCUGAACAGAAAGGUGGGCAUCCAGAAAGCCAGGGCUCCAGUAAGGAAGGCCAUUGCUGUUACACCCAGAGAUGACCACACGUAACUUUUACUGGCGUGAGAGAACAAUAACAGCUUACAUAGAAAUCACGCUCAGUUCAUGUCACAGCAUUAGUUUCCAUGCCGUACUUUUUCAGAAGAUACUUGACGUCCUCCAGGUAGGAGCUCUGGUCAUGAACACCGUGACCAUUGUUUUCCGCAGCACCUCUGGAUGGGUUUGGGCAUAAGAGCACCAGUAAAAUAAGCCCAACGAGACCAAAAAUGGGAGUGAGCUGUCAACACAACAACAUGCAAAGCAACCUAUGGUUGUUAGCGGUUCAUUCAUGUUUUCAAUAUGAACUAUGAGUUCUCACCCUGAGAGACCAGUGCCAGUCUCCAGUGAGGCUGGCUAUUGAUGACCCUGCGAUGUAGCCAAGACCGCUAAAAACACAAACAAAAGUAAUUUGCGGAGGAUCAGUGCACUAUCUUGGUUAGGCCAUAAUAUGAUAGCGUUCGUAUUGGAAGAUCUAUUGUCAGAACCUUCCAACAGGGAUGAAGAUGUAGAAAGCAGAGAUCAUGAUGGUCCGUUGUGUGCCAGUGAAAAGGUCCCCGAUGAUGGUGGGAGCGAUAGUGGAGUAGCUCGCCUCUCCUAUCCCGACAAGGCCUCGUAACAGCACCAGAAGCCAAAAAUACUUGGGAGAUAGAUAGAUGGAUAUCAAAUGGCAAAAUACAUCAUUUUCACAAUAAGAUACAGCACAAACUCUUCACAUGCUAAAAACAAGCAUCAUCAAAGUAAAACAGUAGUCUUCCCAACCCCACCCUAACUCUAUCCCAGUCACCCAUGAACCCAACCCACCCCAAACCCCAUCCCGACCCCGAACCACCCCAUCCAGAACACAGUAAUAUCGGGUAAAACAGGCACAGCAUAACUAUUUGAGAAGGGAUGCCCAAACUUUUUCCACUGAGAGCCACAGUGAAAAAUGAAAGGAUGCAAGGGCCACCCUCAUAUUAUGUAAAGCAACACGUGUAGUUAUGCCAAGUAGUUAUUUGUACGCUGAUGGGAAAAAGUGUUUGCCCCCCUUCUGAUUUCUUAUGCUUUUGCAUGUUUGGCCCACUUAAAUGUUUCAGAUCAUCAAACAAAUGUAAAUAUUAGUCAAUGACAACACAACUCAACACAAAAUGCCGCUUUUGAAUGAAACUUUUUAUUAUUAAAGGAGAAAAAGAAAUCUAAAGCUACAUGGCCCUGUGUGAAAAAGUAACCCUAAUAAUUGGUUGGGCCUCCCCUUAGCAGCAACAACAGCAAUCAGCUUGCAAUGAGUCUCUUCCAGCACCGUGGAGGAAUUUAGCAGAAUUGUUGUCAUUCAGCCACAUUGGAGGCUUUUCCAGCAUGAAGUGCCUUUUUAAGGUCAUGCCACAGCAUCUCAAUAGGAUUCAGGUCAGGACUUGGACUAGGCCACUCCAAAGUCUUCAUCCAUUCAGAGGUGGACUUGCUGGUGUGUUUUGGAUCAUUGUCCUACCGCAGAACCCAAGUUGCUCUCAGCUUGAGGUCACCAGCAGAUGGCCGGACAUUCUCCUUCAGCAGAAUUCAUGCUUCCAUUUAUCACAGCAAGUCUUCCAGGUCCUGAAGCAGCAAAUCAGUCCCAGACCAUCACACUACCACCACCAUAUUUUACGCAUGCUAUGAUGUUUCUGUGUAGGCUCUCAGUCGUACAGGAGUUGUCCAUCGAGGGAAAGGCUUCUUGAGACGUCAUCUGUACUUCUGUGAAGAAGGUGUCGAAGAAGGUGCAGUUCGCUGACAAAGCUCUUCGGAUGAGGAGCGAAACGUCCAACACCUUCUUCACAGAAGUACAGAUGACGUCUCAAGAAGCCUUUCCCUCGUUGCUAUGAUGUUGUUUUUAUGAAAUGCGGCGUUACUUGUAAUGGGACACACACUUUCCAAAAAGUUCAACUUUCUAUUGAGUAUUUUCCAAAAGCUGUUGGGGAUCAUCAAGAUGUUUCCUGGCAAAACUGAGACAAGCCUUAAUGUUGUUUUUGUUCAGCAGUGGUUUUGGUCUUAGAACUCGGCCAUGUAGGCCGUUUUUGCCCAGCGUCUUUCUUAUGAUGGAGUCAUGAACACUGACCUUAACUGAGGCAAGUGAGGCCUGCAGUUCUUUGGAUGUUGUUGUGGGGUCUUUUAUGACCUCUCAGAUGAGUCGUCGCCGCGCUCUUGGGGUCAUUUUGGUUGGCCGGCCACUCCUGGGAAGGUUCACCACUCUUCCAUGUUUUCACCAUUUGUGGAUAAUGGCUCUCACUGUGGUUGGCUGGAGUCUCAAAGCUUUAGAAAUGACUUUAUAACCUUUUCCACAUUUAUAGAUCUCAAUUAAUCUC